UAGGGAAUCUUCCGCAAUGGGCGAAAGCUUGACGGAGCAACGCCGCGUGAGUGAUGAAGGUCUUCGGAUCGUAAAACUCUGUUAUUAGGGAAGAACAAAUGUGUAAGUAACUAUGCACGUCUUGACGGUACCUAAUCAGAAAGCCACGGCUAACUACGUGCCAGCAGCCGCGGUAAUACGUAGGUGGCAAGCGUUAUCCGGAAUUAUUGGGCGUAAAGCGCGCGUAGGCGGUUUUUUAAGUCUGAUGUGAAAGCCCACGGCUCAACCGUGGAGGGUCAUUGGAAACUGGAAAACUUGAGUGCAGAAGAGGAAAGUGGAAUUCCAUGUGUAGCGGUGAAAUGCGCAGAGAUAUGGAGGAACACCAGUGGCGAAGGCGGCUCACUGGACCAUUACUGACGCUGAGGUGCGAAAGCGUGGGGAGCAAACAGG
rnacentral:rRNA from 1 species